rnacentral:rRNA from 1 species
GCAAGUCGAGCGCUCUCUUCGGAGGGAGCGGCGGACGGGUGAGUAACGCGUGGGAAUAUACCCUUCUCUAUGGAAUAGCCUCGGGAAACUGAGAGUAAUACCAUAUACGCCCUUCGGGGGAAAGAUUUAUCGGAGAAGGAUUAGCCCGCGUUGGAUUAGGUAGUUGGUGGGGUAAUGGCCUACCAAGCCGACGAUCCAUAGCUGGUUUGAGAGGACGAUC